GUGAGUAACACGUGGGUGAUCUGCCUCGUACUUCGGGAUAAGCCUGGGAAACUGGGUCUAAUACCGGAUAUGACCAUGGGAUGCAUGUCUUGUGGUGGAAAGAUUUAUCGGUACGAGAUGGGCCCGCGGCCUAUCAGCUUGUUGGUGGGGUAAUGGCCUACCAAGGCGACGACGGGUAGCCGGCCUGAGAGGGCGACCGGCCACACUGGGACUGAGACACGGCCCAGACUCCUACGGGAGGCAGCAGUGGGGAAUAUUGCACAAUGGGCGAAAGCCUGAUGCAGCGACGCCGCGUGAGGGAUGACGGCCUUCGGGUUGUAAACCUCUUUCGACAGGGACGAAGCGCAAGUGACGGUACCUGUAGAAGAAGCACCGGCCAACUACGUGCCAGCAGCCGCGGUAAUACGUAGGGUGCGAGCGUUGUCCGGAAUUACUGGGCGUAAAGAGCUUGUAGGCGGUUCGUCGCGUCGUUCGUGAAAACUUGGGGCUCAACCCCAAGCUUGCGGGCGAUACGGGCGGACUAGAGUACUUCAGGGGAGACUGGAAUUCCUGGUGUAGCGGUGAAAUGCGCAGAUAUCAGGAGGAACACCGGUGGCGAAGGCGGGUCUCUGGGAAGUAACUGACGCUGAGAAGCGAAAGCGUGGGUAGCGAACAGGAUUAGAUAC
rnacentral:rRNA from 1 species